rnacentral:rRNA from 1 species
GGGUUGUGAGGUUAAGCGACUAAGCGUACACGGUGGAUGCCCUGGCAGUCAGAGGCGAUGAAGGACGUGCUAAUCUGCGAAAAGCGUCGGUAAGGUGAUAUGAACCGUUAUAACCGGCGAUGUCCGAAUGGGGAAACCCAGUGCAAUUCGUUGCACUAUCGUUAACUGAAUACAUAGGUUAACGAGGCGAACCGGGGGAACUGAAACAUCUAAGUACCCCGAGGAAAAGAAAUCAACCGAGAUUCCCCCAGUAGCGGCGAGCGAACGGGGAGCAGCCCAGAGUCUGAAUCAGCUUGUGUGUUAGUGGAACGGUCUGGAAAGUCCGACGGUACAGGGUGAUAGUCCCGUACACCAAAAUGCACAGGUUGUGAACUCGAAGAGUAGGGCGGGACACGUGGUAUCCUGUCUGAAUAUGGGGGGACCAUCCUCCAAGGCUAAAUACUCCUGACUGACCGAUAGUGAACCAGUACCGUGAGGGAAAGGCGAAAAGAACCCCGGCGAGGGGAGUGAAAAAGAACCUGAAACCGUGUACGUACAAGCAGUGGGAGCACCUUCGGGUGUGACUGCGUACCUUUUGUAUAAUGGGUCAGCGACUUAUAUUCUGUAGCAAGGUUAACCGUAUAGGGGAGCCGCAGGGAAACCGAGUCUUAACUGGGCGUUAAGUUGCAGGGUAUAGACCCGAAACCCGGUGAUCUAGCCAUGGGCAGGUUGAAGGUUGGGUAACACUAACUGGAGGACCGAACCGACUAAUGUUGAAAAAUUAGCGGAUGACUUGUGGCUGGGGGUGAAAGGCCAAUCAAACCGGGAGAUAGCUGGUUCUCCCCGAAAGCUAUUUAGGUAGCGCCUCGUGAAUUCAUCUUCGGGGGUAGAGCACUGUUUCGGCUAGGGGGUCAUCCCGACUUACCAACCCGAUGCAAACUACGAAUACCGAAGAAUGUUAUCACGGGAGACACACGGCGGGUGCUAACGUCCGUCGUGAAGAGGGAAACAACCCAGACCGCCAGCUAAGGUCCCAAAGUCAUGGUUAAGUGGGAAACGAUGUGGGAAGGCACAGACAGCCAGGAUGUUGGCUUAGAAGCAGCCAUCAUUUAAAGAAAGCGUAAUAGCUCACUGGUCGAGUCGGCCUGCGCGGAAGAUGUAACGGGGCUAAACCAUGCACCGAAGCUGCGGCAGCGACACUAUGUGUUGUUGGGUAGGGGAGCGUUCUGUAAGCCUGCGAAGGUGACCUGUGAGGGUUGCUGGAGGUAUCAGAAGUGCGAAUGCUGACAUAAGUAACGAUAAAGCGGGUGAAAAGCCCGCUCGCCGGAAGACCAAGGGUUCCUGUCCAACGUUAAUCGGGGCAGGGUGAGUCGACCCCUAAGGCGAGGCCGAAAGGCGUAGUCGAUGGGAAACAGGUUAAUAUUCCUGUACUUGGUGUUACUGCGAAGGGGGGACGGAGAAGGCUAUGUUAGCCGGGCGACGGUUGUCCCGGUUUAAGCAUGUAGGCUGGUUAUCCAGGCAAAUCCGGAUAAUCAAGGCUGAGGUGUGAUGACGAGGCACUACGGUGCUGAAGUAACAAAUGCCCUGCUUCCAGGAAAAGCCUCUAAGCAUCAGGUAACAUCAAAUCGUACCCCAAACCGACACAGGUGGUCAGGUAGAGAAUACCAAGGCGCUUGAGAGAACUCGGGUGAAGGAACUAGGCAAAAUGGUGCCGUAACUUCGGGAGAAGGCACGCUGGUGUGUAGGUGAAGCCCCUGCGGGUGGAGCUGAGACCAGUCGAAGAUACCAGCUGGCUGCAACUGUUUAUUAAAAACACAGCACUGUGCAAACACGAAAGUGGACGUAUACGGUGUGACGCCUGCCCGGUGCCGGAAGGUUAAUUGAUGGGGUUAUCCGUAAGGAGAAGCUCUUGAUCGAAGCCCCGGUAAACGGCGGCCGUAACUAUAACGGUCCUAAGGUAGCGAAAUUCCUUGUCGGGUAAGUUCCGACCUGCACGAAUGGCGUAAUGAUGGCCAGGCUGUCUCCACCCGAGACUCAGUGAAAUUGAACUCGCUGUGAAGAUGCAGUGUACCCGCGGCAAGACGGAAAGACCCCGUGAACCUUUACUAUAGCUUGACACUGAACAUUGAGCCUUGAUGUGUAGGAUAGGUGGGAGGCUUUGAAGCGUGGACGCCAGUCUGCGUGGAGCCAACCUUGAAAUACCACCCUUUAAUGUUUGAUGUUCUAACGUUGGCCCCUGACCGGGGUUGCGGACAGUGUCUGGUGGGUAGUUUGACUGGGGCGGUCUCCUCCCAAAGCGUAACGGAGGAGCACGAAGGUUAGCUAAUCCUGGUCGGACAUCAGGAGGUUAGUGCAAUGGCAUAAGCUAGCUUGACUGCGAGCGUGACGGCGCGAGCAGGUGCGAAAGCAGGUCAUAGUGAUCCGGUGGUUCUGAAUGGAAGGGCCAUCGCUCAACGGAUAAAAGGUACUCCGGGGAUAACAGGCUGAUACCGCCCAAGAGUUCAUAUCGACGGCGGUGUUUGGCACCUCGAUGUCGGCUCAUCACAUCCUGGGGCUGAAGUAGGUCCCAAGGGUAUGGCUGUUCGCCAUUUAAAGUGGUACGCGAGCUGGGUUUAGAACGUCGUGAGACAGUUCGGUCCCUAUCUGCCGUGGGCGCUGGAGAAUUGAGGGGGGCUGCUCCUAGUACGAGAGGACCGGAGUGGACGCAUCACUGGUGUUCGGGUUGUCAUGCCAAUGGCACUGCCCGGUAGCUAAAUGCGGAAGAGAUAAGUGCUGAAAGCAUCUAAGCACGAAACUUGCCCCGAGAUGAGUUCUCCCUGAGACUUUAAGUCUCCUGAAGGAACGUUGAAGACGACGACGUUGAUAGGCCGGGUGUGUAAGCGCAGCGAUGCGUUGAGCUA